AUGGUUCCCUGGUAGCCAGCAGGAGAAGAGAGAUUGCUGAUAAAGCCUUGGAAGAAAGCUGUUUAGGGAAGUGUUAUUGUAAUAAUAUCAAGUAGUCCUCUUCACCAUGCUGUGAUUAUGGUUAGAUGACAUUGAAGGCAUAAGUGUUGUUGAGGUCCAGAUGGUUCUGUGGAACCCUAGGAGAUGACUGCAGCAACAUAAUCCACAGGACAAUGAGGCCCAACCACCUGACAUGGAACAGAAGGCGUUCAAGCGACUAUAUUUAAAUGUCCCAAAAAUCCAUGCUUCUUGGCACAAUGUGUUAAGUGGGUUUCCUGGAGAGUGAUUGAAUGUAAAUUUCAGAGCCCCUGCUAUGCAAAUAACCACCCUUUUGAAGCUACACAGUGAGAAGGCCAUUGACUGGUGAUUACUUCUUCCCAGAAGCGGGAUAUCAAAGGACUGAGCUGUAUAAAGAAACAGCUGAACUGUCCAGUCGGGGUUCUUGUUCGUGAUCCAAAAAUUGACAUGAACUUGCAACCACGCGGGUAAAUUCAGUUGAGGGAUUGGAAAGGCUGACACCUACUAGAGCCCAGUGUUGGAGUUGGGGGUGACCUCUGGUAAACUUUUAGCUUGUGAGUAGGUCCUUUUAUUGUUAUGCUUUCUCUAUGAUGGUUCUUACCUUAAGAAUAAAUGUGCUUGCUUUUA